AUUGAACGCUGGCGGCAGGCCUUACACAUGCAAGUCGAACGAGUGGCGGACGGGUGAGUAAUGUCUGGGAAACUGCCCGAUGGAGGGGGAUAACUACUGGAAACGGUAGCUAAUACCGCAUAACAACGGAUGGACCCAGAUGGGAUGAGCUAGUAGGUGGGGUAACGGCUCACCUAGGCGACGAUCCCUAGCUGGUCUGAGAGGAUGACCAGCCACACUGGAACUGAGACACGGUCCAGACUCCUACGGGAGGCAGCAGUGGGGAAUAUUGCACAAUGGGCGCAAGCCUGAUGCAGCCAUGCCGCGUGUAUGAAGAAGGCCUUCGGGUUGUAAAGUACUUUCAGCGAGGAGGCGUUACUCGCAGAAGAAGCACCGGCUAACUCCGUGCCAGCAGCCGCGGUAAUAC
rnacentral:rRNA from 1 species